rnacentral:rRNA from 1 species
CCUACGGGCGGCAGCAGUGAGGAAUAUUGGUCAAUGGACGAGAGUCUGAACCAGCCAAGUAGCGUGAAGGAUGACUGCUCUAUGUGCUGUAAACUUCUUCUACAAAGGAAUAAAACGAGGUACCUGUGCCUUUUUGCACGUAUUUUAUGAAUAAGGAUCGGCUAACUCCGUGCCAGCAGCCGCGGUAAUCCGGAGGGUCCGAGCGUUAUCCGGAUUUAUUGGGUUUAAAGGGAGCGUAGAUGGGUUGAUAAGUCUGUUGUGAAAGUUUGCGGCUCAACCGUAAAAUUACAAUUGAUACUGGCAGGCUUGAGUGCAGUUGAGGUAGGCGGAAUUCGUGGUGUAGCGGUGAAAUGCUUAGAUAUCACGAAGAACCCCGAUUGCGAAGGCAGCUUACUAAACUGUGACUGACAUUGAUGCUCGAAAGUGUGGGUAUCAAACAGGAUUAGAUACCCUUGUAGUC